CUCUCUCUCUCUCUCUCUCUCUCUCUCUCUCUCUCUCUCUCUCACACACACACACACACUUUCUCUCUUGCAAAUCCCCUGCACUUUUCAAACACACGUAUCACUUUGGUCACACAAACUUACGGUGACACAAGAUUCACAGACCUCCACACCAUCCUGGAAUUGUGAAGGGGGGGGCGGCAGGUCUAGAAGGAGGUGGGGAAUUGAGGGGGGGUAGGAAAGGGGGUUAGAUAAGACGGCUGGGGGGGCGGAGAAAAGGGAGAAUGGGGGGGGGGGAGUUGGUAACAGGCAACAGGAAAUAAACGGGGACACAUUUGGAAGGAUAAAAACUGUGAAACGGUCUAAGGAGGCCGCGGGUGUUAUAUCUGCAUUCCAGCAGCACAGCAACCUGCCAGCUGCUGUGGACGGUUCCUCUCGCCAUCUGCAUGUUCCUUGUUAACAUUGCACAUUAGCAUGUAGUCCGCGGUAUUUUAAAGAUCCGUCACCUCGACUGACUGACGGUGUCAACCGAUUUAAAUGUGUAUAAUUAAUGUUGGGACUGUAGGGCUGCACGGUGGUGUGGUGGCGAUCCCCAUUGCCUCUCAGCGAGGGGGAGCUGGUUUUGAUUCCCGGGCUAAAAGGGUUUUCUGUCCGGAUUGCAUUAAUCAACCGACGUGGCAGACAGGCGUGAAAUUACAAGUUAGUCAAUAGGUAAUAAUUGUAAGUUACAUGAGUUAUAACAGGCAGCCAUUUAUGGCAGGAAAACAUCAAAAGGGACAGGGUAGCAACAAAUGGUUACCGGUAUAAAAGGAUUUACUAUAAUCAUCUGUGAAAUGUAUUAGAGUAGGACUGCAUAUAAGCGUUUUAAUAGAUUAUACCAAAUCUGAUAUAUAUUAAAUGGAUCAGAGGAAAGUAGGGCACAUCACUUCCUUCAGCAGCUGCUGCCGUUGUUAAUAUGUCAUCAGCAGUAAUCAGUGAGGGAACACAAAAUGAUGCUCUGUGCAACAAAAUUGCCUUCUAUAUUUCACUUUUAGAAAUAUAUUGUGAAAAAUAGAUAGGUAGGGAAGUGGAGUUUCUGAUUUGAAAUCUCCAUAUUGGAUGGAUUCUAUGGAUAUCAAAGUCAAACCGUAACAGCAACCUUGCUCAUUCAUGGAAGACGGUGCUAUUGCAAAACUCAUUAUGCUAGUUGUCAGGAGAAGGUCAGCACUAUGACACAGAGCUCCAAGCUGCCUGAAGGUAUUUUGUAUGGAUCACCUUCUGCAACAUGCAGAGCUCAAUUCCAGCUGUCAUCGGGCUGGAGGAGGCGGAAAUGCAUUACCAGUCAGGAUAAUGUGCUUUAUUACAUAGCUCACAUGCCAGCUCAUGCUGCCUGGGGGCAAUGAGAGGAGCAAUUACAAGGAUAGCGAUGUCGAGUGGGUGUGUUUGUAGGUUUGUGUCUGUGUGUGUGUGCGUGCGUGUGGAUGGGUGGGUGUUGAAUACACACCUACCAGCAUUUACCUCUUAAAACCAAUAAACUCUUAAUGCAUCAAUUUUAAUGUUGCAUCAAUGUUAAAAUCAGCCCAUGGACACGAACCACCGCUAACUGACGAUCUGCAGGACAAGGACAUAGUCCUUAUCCAGGCAAUGCAACAUGCACACACACAUAUUUGAGAAAAUUUAGCACUAAGUGACUCAAAACACCGAAAAGGCUUCUGUUCAUUCAAACGGGAACAAAAGCACUAAUGGAUAUCGCUUGGAAGAAAGGCAAUUUCCACCACUGAUACAGCCUGUCCCUUGGUUUUACGUUGCAUCUGACAAUAAUCCUUUGCGUUGAGCCCUGCGUGUUCUCCACCCACCAUUAUUAUGGCAUUAUGUGCUUUCAGAUAAGGACACAUAACAAAAGGCUGAACCAAAUAAUCAUGGUGUGUUGCCCGUUGAUCAGAUCAUCUCCUGUUUUCAUUUCAUAGCCGUCCCCGAUUCCCCGGCUCUCACACUCCCCGCAUUCAGCUGCACGCCCUUUCCCAUCUUUUAGGGCAUAUGGAGAGCGAUAGAAUGAGACAUGAUGAUACCUUAGAAACAACACAAAGCUAUUUGCUCUACUGCUGCAGUUGCAGGUGACAAUGUGUUUUUGUGUGAUUGCAUGUGUUUGUGCACAUAUUUCUGAAAUACAAACCACUAAAUAAAUCAUCUUUUCUCCUACAUUUGAACCGGCUCAGAUCUGUAUUGUGAUGUAAGAGGAGAGAGGCACAUUCAGGCAGAGAUAGAAGUAUAAUGAACACAUACGUUUUCUCAGCUUCGCAGUACUUUUUUAGUAGUGAUCAUUCUGAGAAUGUGUGUUUGUGUCGGGCCUCUGCCUUGACGCCUGUUGAUUAGAUCCCCACACACAGACAAACACACCGCCUGUGCUGCUCUACUGCAAACUGCUUAACAACUUGUGGGAGCAGAUAUUUAGAUUGAUUUAUAUGGAUUCCAGCAUCUACGGCAUUAAACGGCUGCCUCUGCAUAUGGAGCGUUCUGCAUGCUCCAAGAUUUAGUAACAUAAUAAGUAACUCUUUACGUUUUCUAAGUCAAAGAAGAUAAAUUAAGAUUUCUUAAUUAAGUUGCCAAAUGAGAAUAAGCCUGUUUGAGGAUAAUAUUUGUUUGGUAUCUUUCUUUGCCUGUUUUAAAAUUUUAACAAUGGAUAGUGUAUUCUUUUGGAAGGAAUCACAUUGAAUAAUGUAUAUAAUUUCAUAAAAUGCAGGCAAAACAUUUUUUUUUCUUUAAAUCAUUUAAUUUAAAUCAAAUCAAUUUUCCCGUCCUAAACAUGUUGUGUUUGCUGACAAAUUAUUGCUACAUGAAUUGUGUGUCUCUUUCUCUCGCUCUCUCCGUCUCUCACUGCCUUUGGUCCCGGAGGUAAUUACAAAGAGUUUCAGACACCGGUUCCGGAGACCUGGGACUCUCCGCUAACCAUUAUUCUCCAGAUCAAUUGCUGUGGACUAAACUGAACACACACUCUCAGAAGCACAGAACAAUUAAAAGUCAACACGGGGGAAAAUCCACUCGCAGGCAUGCACGUUGCACAAACACACACAUUGCACAAACACCCACAUGCAAGGGGAUUUUCAAGGGGGAGGACUGACACAAACGAGCGCGGCCCCACACGUGACCCCAUGACGAACCGGACAAUCCGGUGUUGAGGAAAGCCGCCGAAGAAGAAUAUUAUUUGACUGCAUCAAACCUGCCUGGUCGAUCGACAUGACCAAACGACACACCGCUCGGAGCACAACAGACGUUUUCAUGUUUUCUCUUCAAAGAGUCACAUACUAAUACACUCCGAGGUCUGCCUCAUGAAAGCUCCCAAAACUGCAGGGAGAGUGUGCAUGCGCACAAGUCAGUAUCUCCGCAGUGUCCCCUUAACUGUAAUCCAGAAAGAACAUGCUACUUGACAGGGACACAGCAAUAAACCCGCAGAGUGCAAUGAUAUUUUUUGAACCAUCCAUAACAUUAUUUUUAACUGAAAAAAAGAAGCAGUGCAGAACAACAGUAUGAAGAAAUCCAAACGCAGAAAAGGCCUCGUUGAAAGCUGUGUGGAGGUGCAUGUAUGUUCAAAUGGUGCCACAGUGCAGAGACUGUAACGUAUUGCUGGGACUUGUGUACGCACAGCGGGAUGCUGGGAACAUUCUCUUAUGAGGAUCUAAUUAUAGAAACUCUCCUCUCAUACUCUGUGUGGACUCUCACUUAGUCCACCUCUUUCUGAUUCACUGACUUGAACACACACACACACACACUCACACACACCUCAAUAAACACUCAGCGUUUUCACAACGCACACACACUUAACACAAACCUGUGCAUCUAUGCACGUAUCUGCAUGCUUGUUUGUGUGAGUCUCCUGAGGGCUGUGAUGAAGUAGGGCAGGCUGGAGGAAAGUGGGACGACAGGGGGGCUGGUAGUAGGCCCAGUCAGAAUAUCAAUAAUGGAUAAACGUGUUGCCUUCAGAAGGGACGGAAGGAGAAGGAGAUGUGGAGCGAGAGAGAGAGAGAGAGGGAGAGUUUGGAGAAAGGGUAGUGAGGACAAAGGACAAGAGGAGAGGGAGGAGCUGGAAGAAGUGAAAGAAAAGACUUAAAACUCAUGGAUUGUUAUUCCUUGUCCCAGCGGUACCAUGCAGCUCCUUGAAUUGAUUCCAGACAAUGUUGUUUUCUGCCUGAUAAUACUAUGCAGUUUAUAGGCAUUUAGUUUGUGCUGUUUAACAAAAAAAAGAAAAGAAAUAGAAAUAGACUUUCACCACCAUUGCAUUUGAGCAAAGGACUAAACACAUAUAUAAACAUUUUUUUAGAGAUAUUUAUGGCUAUAAAGCACUAGGAAUUAGUGAGAACAUAAUGAGAACAUAGUGUUUUAUUUUGUCAGUUCUGAUGUCUUUGAGUCAGUGGUAGUGAGCAAGUGAAGGCAAGGGAGAGAACUUCCGGCCCAAAAACUGAAUGAAGGUUUAGAAAUGUACCAUUUCUCACAUUUAAGUAGGCAAAUCAGUGUGAGAGGUGAGGCGUCCUACAGAGUUCUAAAUCCAUUUAGUCCGAGGUACCCUGAACGACAACGUCACCCCUGAUUCAUAUGUUUGGGCAGCAUUUGGCAUAAAAUCAGGCAGGAGGCUGAGGUCCAUCAGGACUACGACCUCCCGCCACACGAACAGUUUCUUCCCGUCGGCAGUCGGGCUCAUCAACAGAGCCCGGUCCCCCACUGCCUGACUAUAACACUCCACCGGUCACUCCCCUUCAUACUGCACAUGCCACUUUAACUGCAAUUCAUCACUUUGUCGUCACUUGUCACUUUGUCUGUUACUUGUUUGUUAGUGCACUUUAUGCUUAAUAUUUUUCUUUUUUACUUUUUAAUAUUUUUCUUUUUUUAACUUUAUUCUCUUGUUUUAUACUAACCCAUAGCCUUAGCCUUAUUCUACUAACCUAUUGCAUUAGCAUUUCAUUCCACUUUAUUUUAUUACUUUAUUACUGUUGUCUUGUCUGUCUACUGUCGCGCACUAACCGCCAAGACAAAUUCCUUGUAUGUUUGACAUAUUUUGGCUAAUAAAUGUUUCCUGAUUCCUGGUGUGUGUGUGUGUCUGUGUGUGUUUCAGUCUUCUUCUGGGCCUGACUGUGUGAAGAAGUACAAGUGGAAAAUAAAAAAGGAGAGGAGGGUUUUCAAAUGUUUUCUGCCUAAAGGGCAGCCGUGCAUUGACUUUCUUAUACAUAUGGGCUCUUGUAAGCCCAGCCGGAGCGCGUGCGCAUGCAUUCACAUGUAUUUUUGUGGGAUCAUGACUGCAGGUCUGUGUCUUUGUGCGUUUCAACCGUCCACCCAAGGCAUUUCUUUUACCAAUUGAGUAACUCCGGGUUACCGCGAAGGCUUGUUGCUCAUGGCAACUCAGCUGUGUCCCCUUUUGUCUGCUCCUUUCUAACUUGAAAAGACAUGAUUGCACACAGGAAGGGAGGCAUACUGUGUGCCAUGCAAAGUGUUCAACAGUGAAAUAUUGAUUCAACACCAUAAGAACUUGAUAUAAAUUGAUAGACUUUUCUUUUUUGCUUCAAAUAUAAAGGAUGUGGGAGGUCGGGGGUGUCUGCAUGUAGGUUUUUGUGGUGUGUGUGUGUCUGUGUAAACCCAUUGACAGCUUCCCUCAGUUAUUCUCUCCAUGUACAAGCCUUUCUAUUAUUCCUUCCUUAAUGACCCUAAUUAGACUGUUCCUUUUAAUUAAUCUGUCCUUGAUUGAGGGUGUGUUUUCCUGCUUGUGCGCGCACAUUCCUGCCAAUGAGGCAUGAUAAUCGGACUGCUAAUCCCACUGAUCCUGACGCUCUGUGACUGAGUGAUAGAAAACAAAAUCUCAGACACCACAUGUGGAGCUCCUUGAAUUCCACAUUCCUCUUGUCACUGACUUACAGAGACGCAGCAGGACAAAACCAUCAAUCUACAAUUAUCAAGGUGGAGAGAGCACAAGUGGAAUCCAUUACAGUCUCCUAAUUAUGUACAAAGGUUACAAUUAGUGAAGCAGUGCAUUGGGUGUGCAUGAGGAAAAAUGGAAGGGGGGGUAAUCACAGAGGGAUUUGGAGUCUCACCAGCGCCUCCUUUUCUCUAAUAAAUAUGAUCAAGCGUAUUCUCCCUCUUUCCUCGGUUUCCUCUCGACUGUUCCUUAUUUUGGUUUGCCUCUAAGCGCGGUGCAGAACCCAGUCCACCUCAACCGAGAAAAUGAGACGAUGUUUCUGCCUAUUGACUUUCUGUUUUCAUUCUAUAAUUGUUGCCAUAAAGCGUAAUUAAACUUCAUUGUUCAUUCCUUCAUCCUCCCUCUCUCCCUCUUUCUCUGCUCUCCGUGUGUUAGAAAGUAAUUAUAUCUCGGUGUGCCUGCGAGACGGCGCACUCCCGAUCCACUGAUGAGAGCAGGCUGGGAGGUUGAAUGUAAUGAAAUGGAAUACAUUACUGGAUGCCGGCGCACCACAGACCCGCCGUUCCCACAUAAAACCCCCAAAAGCUGCCGUUACAUUAUGCAAUUUACUUACUGAAAUGUCUUGUCUCGGUUAAAAGGAAUAGCCACAUCACAGUCUUGAUUUAUGGUUAUUUUGCUCCAAAAAGUUACUGCUGGGGAAGAAAUUCUACUUUAGUUGGUUUCUACUAUUGACAGCAACCAAAAAAACAACGCAGCACCAAAAAAAAAUAAUUCAAAGCAAAACAUGUUCAGAGUUAAACAAAAAAUGACAUUCCACAACAAAAUUUGCAUUUUUCGCUCCUUUGGCAAUUACUCUGAUGGAAGGUGGGAGAUGCUUCAAACCGCAGCAAAAAUGACAAAACCUGUAUUUCCAAAUGCAGAAAUCUCCAGAGUGGUUGCUUUGUAAGUUGUUUGCUUUGUUUGUCAGACUUACUCGUAGCAACUCCUGCUGAGGUUUAGAUUUAAGUUACUGGAAGCGUAAGUUAUAAAAGGCAGAACGUGACUUUAAUGGUUUUGUGUAGAGCUGGAUCCGCCCACUGACAGGACACGCAAUAGUUCAAAGGUGUUUAUUGGUGGAAACCAGUGGUGGCAUUAGGGUGGGUUGGUGUCAGAAGGGGAGCCGGGUGACCGGCUGGUGGGGGGUCUCGGGGUGAGGCAGGAGAACGAGGAGCCAGGUGGGCCGGAGGCUCAGGUAGACAUAUUUUAGAAAGUCAAGAGACAAACAAUGUACAAUCCUGAGGCAGCUGAAGAAACUCAACCUGCCAAAGACGAUGAUGGUCCACUUCUACACGGCCAUCAUGGAGUCCAUCCUCCAUCACCGUCUGGUACGCUGCAGCCAAGGACAAGGGCAGGCUGCAGCGUGUCAUCCGCUCUGCAGAGAAGGUGAUUGGCUGCAAUCUGCCGUCCCUGCAGGACUUGAUCGCUUCCAGGUCUCUGAAGCGAGCUAGAAAGAUGGUAGCCGACCCCUCCCACCCCGGACAAAACCUGUUUGUUCUUUCAUCUGGCAGGAGGCUGAGGUCCAUCAGGACUAGACCUCCCGCCACACCAAAAGUUUCUUCCCGUCGGGCUCAUCAACAGAGCCCGGUCCCCCACUGACUGACUAUAACAUUCCACCGGUCACUCCCCUUCACACUGCACAUGUCACUUUAACUGUUAUUUUUCACUUUGUCGUCACUCGUCACUUUGUUACUUGUUCGCUAGUGCACUUUAUGCUUAAUAUUUUUUUACUUUUUUAAUAUUCUAAAUUUUUAAAUUUUAACUUUAUUCUCUUGUUUUAUACUAACCCAUAGGCUUAUUCUACUAACCCAUUGCAUUAGCAUUUCCAUCCAUCCAUUGUCAAACCGCUUAUCCUGCACAGGGUCGCGGGGGGGCUGGAGUCCAUCCCAGCCAACUUCGGGCGAUAGACAGGGUACAUCCUGGAUUGGUCGCCAGCCAAUCGCAGGGCUACACAGAGACACGCAACCAUUCACACAUCUAUGGCAAUUUAAAGUCCCCGAUUAACCUGAUCCCCAGAGCAUGUCUUUGGACUGUGGGAGGAAGCCGGAGAACCCGCGCAGACACGGGGAGAACAUGCAGACUCCACACAGAAAGGCCACUGGGCAGAAUCGAACCCAGGACCUUCUUGCUGUGAGGCAACAGUGCUAACCACCACGCCACCGUGCCGCCCCGCAUUAGCAUUUCAUUUAACUUUAUUGUAUUACUUGUGCACUGCUGUCUUGUUGUCUAUUGUUACACUGUCUACUGUCACGCACCAACCGCCAAGACAAAUUCCAUGUAUGUUUGACAUAUUUUGGCAAUAAAUGUUUCCUGAUUCCUGAUCCUACAAGGGGGACUUUGUGGACAUUAGUGCAGUAAGUUGGGGCUGACAACCUGGCGACAAGUGGGUAUAAGCAGCUUCCGGUUUAACCGAAGCCUUUGUCCUUUUCUCCCUUGAAAUGUAGAUGAAAUGGAAGCAUGUGUUGGGGGUUGAAGUGUUAAAAUCCACGGCGUAAGAGCAAAGGGAAGGAAAUGUUCACCAAGGAUGAGAUAGCUGGCAGAGAUUCUACCUCCGCAGCCACUUUUCUCUCUGUGGAAAGAACCGGCCUUACAGCAUCAGCAUACAAACACCUCGGUAAUGAAGCGCCAGCAGUCCUGGACUCUAAACAUGCAGACCUAUCCAUCUCUCCCAUGCAUUAUUCACCGCACACAGCCAUUUCACCGCCCUGCGCACCCGCCAAAGAUUGGUUCCACUUUUUAUUUAUCUGUUUUUCAUCCCCUCCCUCUUUUCCUUCUCCUUCCUUUCUGCAGCUAUUCAAUUAAAUUAAGGCCAGCUCGACACUAAAUCCAUGUGGCAGAGGCUGCCCACAUGACAAUUAGACUGUCCAACAGACAGAGGAAGAGGGAGGGACGAGAUAGUGGAGCAAUGCAGGUAAGUUCCCUGUUGAAAUGCUCAUGUAGGUCAGUGAACCGAAAAAAGGAAAAGUCACUGUUGUUCUCUGCAGCCGCAUUCUGCUCAGACUAGUUGUCUCCCAUUCAAGGUCAACGUAUCAAUAUUUCAAACGUGUAUCUUUUCAACUAAUCAAUUCAGACCACGAGGUGCCAAUGGCAUAUUAAUUAACUGUGUCUUCCAUGCCAAUUAAAAAAAGAAAAGUUGAUAGAAACUCAAAUAAUUUUUUUUGGCUGAAACUCCAUGUGUGAUUAAUGUCCAUAAUCUAAGAUGAACGUCAUAAUCAGUCGGCCACAUUAGCCACCCCGGCUGGGUGCUGCCGCUCGCGUGUUGGCAGCGGUGCCGGGAGCCGGAGGCAGCGGGCUACAGGUGCCAGCUAAUAUGGUUCAUUAAGAGGAAGCUGAUUAGCGGCUGGCUAAGAGAGAGGAGUGGCAGUUUCAUGCUCCCCUUAUUAGAUGAUGGGAACGGGGAUGCAGUUGCCUCCCGAAUUUGAAACCGACACGAUAAUAGAAAGCAAGCAAGACGAGAUAAGAAAGCACAGAAGCCAAAAGGCAUGCGAUCAUGAAUGGAGAGGCAGAAGAGAAGGAAUUAAAAAGUAAUCCAUCUAUUUUCUCUUCUUUUAUCUUGAUUGAAGUGUCCGCAUUUAAUGCUCUUUGCACCUCAUCACAAUGUUGUCCACUGGCUUGAUAAUUGGUUUUUAAUACAGUGUAGACAUGAUGUCUGCCACAAGCAGCUGUUGAGGGGAUACUUCCUCUUCCAAGCAAUAUCGGUAAACUAUUUCCCUCCAUUCUGAAAAAACAUUCAAAAUGCAAGAUUCACCUACUCAAGUAUUUCAUGACCCCGACUGAUGGAAAAAGCUGCACAUAGUUAAUCAUCCCUGGACAAGCUCUGUGCCUAUUUAGUCUACACUGUCCAAUAUUUGCACCCUGUUGAUGUGAAUCUAUGUUACGUUAAAUGUCUCAUUAAUGCAGAUUGUUAUUGUUUUUUUUACAUUAACUAAUUUAAUUCAUAAUAAGCGUCCAUUAAAUGAAAUUUACAAAAUACUUAUCAAGCAUUUUCUUUCACAUGGAAUGAUUAGAAUUACACCCUGAAAGUGACAGCUCAGUAUUUCCCUGAUUGUGUGAGGACAGUCAACCGACGAGACGAUGCCCGAUGAUUUAGUGUUUAAGCAGAAAGAAAAAUGCAAAAGCUCUGUAAUAUUUUGGAUGUAAAGCCAAUUCCAAUAGGGACCUGAUAAUCCUAAUGAGGAAACCUCUAAACUUUGUCUGAUAAAAGCGGAAGCAUCUGGAGGCCAAAUGUAUAAUCCAGUGAGACACACACACACACACACACACACACACACACACACACACACUAGAGAUUCCAGCUGCGACGUGUUGAGUCACCAGAGCUGUUGGCAACCACUCUUGAAACUAAAAGGCAUAAAAAAACUCAACCUUUUUUUAUUUAUAGCGUACACAAUACAUGAUAACGGUAUUCCCAUUUAUUUUAUCAUAUCAAAAGCAGUCGUCUUCUUUGUUGACGUGACUAAGAUGAGAAGAUGGGCUCCACUCCGACGUCUGAACAAUAGAGAGCCGAUGAUGCUGCAGCCGACGGCCGCUUAGCUUCGCCAGAGGAGGCUGACUUUGCUCUGUUCAAUGACAAAACAGUAGACCAGUAAGUUCCCUUCUAAAGGACCGCCACUGUUCUGUUUCUCUGGAUGCAAUCAACUAAGCUCAUGUUACCUUAGCUGCUUUUUAAUUUUAGAUGAGCCCAGAGACAUGGGGGUGGGAUAAGAAAUGUGGUUUAAUAAACACAAAUAAAGAUCAGGAGACUAAAAAGAGGCUUUUUUUUUUUCUUUUAUUCGGCCCUCUGUGACACUGAAGACCAAAUUCCCUCACCUUUUGGUUUCCGUCAUGACAGCUGAUGUAUGUGUUUUUGCACCCCUCUUUGGACGUGUGCAUUUUUUAUUUUCCAGCUGCGACAGGUAAAGUGAGUUUUUUCUCAGAGACAAUUGGGAGUCAACAGUCAUUUCAGGGAGACCGCUGUUCCUUAAAUGAGCAAGGACAGAACCCAAACCAAGCAAUUAAGGAAAAGGUCAGGCUGGAUAGAUCGUCAUUUUAUGGAGGAUGCAAAGCACACACACAAGCGUGGAGUGAGGAGUGUUACUCAUGCUUGUGAGAACACUUAAAAAAUAAAUAAGACUAACACCCUCAGCAGCCUGUUUAACCCUUCUCGCUGACACUAACACAGUGGCCUAUCUUCUAAAGACGGGGCGGGGGGGUAUGUAGACACAGAGCAACACACAAUGUGGCAGCGUGGAUUCUGUCACACACAUAAUGUCACUCACAUGCACGCUCACAUGCCCAGAGACGCACAUCACUUUUUCACAUUUGCAUCCAGCCUCCCAUGUCGAAGGGUACUUAAGAUGGUGACAUUUCACCAGAGGGCACUUUAAUGAGACGUGAAUGGUGUAAGUGAUGCAGAGAGGAGGGAUCCUGCUGCAUGCCGUGGCACCAGUUAAAACAGACGCCGGGGCAGGGAGGGGCUGGCAGGCUGCACAAGGGGGGGGGACAUGCCUUUAGAAUUGCUACAUGCAUGGCAUAAUAAGCACAGAGCGGGAAGAAAGGGCAGGGGUUUGUUAGAAACACGGGGAGAAUAAGAAAAUGAAAGUCACGGAGGGAAAGGGAAGGGUGGGAGGGCAGGGAGAGACGGGGAGGUAAAACUGGAGAGACACUCAGCUGAGCGAGAACACCGAAAAGUCAUAACCCAGAUUCAAUUAACGUCUGAUUGCUGUUCUAUUGCUGUAAUAUUAUACAGCUGAGAGCGGUUUCAUAUUUCAAACAAAGGCCAAGCAUCAGCCUCAUUUAUGAUCUCCCACACACAUACUUACUCUCUCUCUCUCUCUCU
ensembl:lncRNA